GAUGAACGCUGGCGGCGUGCCUAAUACAUGCAAGUCGAGCGAACGGACGAGAAGCUUGCUUCUCUGAUGUUAGCGGCGGACGGGUGAGUAACACGUGGGUAACCUACCUAUAAGACUGGGAUAACUUCGGGAAACCGGAGCUAAUACCGGAUAAUAUUUUGUACCGCAUGGUUCAAAAGUGAAAGACGGUCUUGCUGUCACUUAUAGAUGGAUCCGCGCUGCAUUAGCUAGUUGGUAAGGUAACGGCUUACCAAGGCAACGAUGCAUAGCCGACCUGAGAGGGUGAUCGGCCACACUGGAACUGAGACACGGUCCAGACUCCUACGGGAGGCAGCAGUAGGGAAUCUUCCGCAAUGGGCGAAAGCCUGACGGAGCAACGCCGCGUGAGUGAUGAAGGUCUUCGGAUCGUAAAACUCUGUUAUUAGGGAAGAACAUAUGUGUAAGUAACUGUGCACAUCUUGACGGUACCUAAUCAGAAAGCCACGGCUAACUACGUG
rnacentral:rRNA from 1 species